UACGUAGGGUGCAAGCGUUAAUCGGAAUACUGGGCGUAAAGCGUGCGCAGGCGGUUCGCUAAGACAGAUGUGAAAUCCCCGGGCUCAACCUGGGAAUUGCGUUGGAGACUGCAAGGCUGGAGUCUGGCAGAGGGGGGUAGAAUUCCACGUGUAGCAGUGAAAUGCGUAGAGAUGUGGAGGAACACCGAUGGCGAAGGCAGCCCCCUGGGUCAAGACUGACGCUCAUGCACGAAAGCGUGGGGAGCAAACAGG
rnacentral:rRNA from 1 species